CUGACUGCUAUCGGAUUGAUACUAAGCCAUGCGAGUCAUUGUAGUAAUACAAGGCAGACGGCUCAGUAACGCGUAGUCAACCUAACCUAUGGACGGGGAUAAUCUCGGGAAACUGAGCAUAAUACCCGAUAGAACAUUAUGCCUGGAAUGGUUUAUGUUCCAAAUGAUUUAUCGCCGUAGGAUGGGACUGCGGCCUAUCAGUUUGUUGGUGAGGUAAUGGCCCACCAAGACUAUUACAGGUACGGGCUCUGAGAGGAGUAGCCCGGAGAUGGGUACUGAGACACGGACCCAGGCCCUAUGGGGCGCAGCAGGCGAGAAAACUUUGUAAUGUGCGAAAGCACGACAAGGUUAAUCCGAGUGGUCUCUGCUAAAGGAACCUUUUGACAGUCCUAGAAACACUGUUGAAUAAGGGGUGGGCAAGUUCUGGUGUCAGCCGCCGCGGUAAAACCAGCACCUCAAGUGGUCAGGAUGAUUAUUGGGCCUAAAGCAUCCGUAGCCGGCUCUGUAAGUUUUCGGUUAAAUCUGUACGCUCAACGUACAGGCUGCCGGGAAUACUGUAGAGCUAGGGAGUGGGAGAGGUAGACGGUACUCGGUAGGAAGGGGUAAAAUCCUUUGAUCUAUUGAUGACCACCUGUGGCGAAGCCGGUCUACCAGAACACGUCCC
rnacentral:rRNA from 1 species